rnacentral:lncRNA from 1 species
CGGUGGCGGAGAUGAUUCAGGACACGGCGGUGGACUUGGAGGAGGUGGAGGUGGAGAUGAGUAUACAUAAGGUGGAGGUGGAGGAGAUGAGUAUACGUAAGGCGGAGGUGGAGGAGAUGAGUAUACAUAAGGCGGAGGUGGAGGAGAUGAGUAUACAUAAGGCGGAGGCGGAGGAGAUGAGUAUACGUAAGGCGGAGGUGGAGAUGGUGAUGGUGGUGGUGGUGGAGGGUAAGCUCGAACGGUAGGCGACAUCUUGGAUGUAGGUGGUGGUGGAGAGUAUGAUCUG